GACGAACGCUGGCGGCGUGCUUAACACAUGCAAGUCGAACGGAGUGGCGAACGGGUGAGUAACACGUGGGUGAUCUGCCUUGCACUUCGGGAUAAGCUUGGGAAACUGGGUCCAAUACCGGAUAGUGCAAGAUGAGCUCGCGGCCUAUUAGCUUGUUGGUGGGGUAAUGGCCUACCAAGGCGUCGACGGUUAGCCGGCCUGGGAGUGUAUACGGCCACAUUAGUACUGAGGUACGGCCCAGAGUCGAAUGGGGUGCAGCGGUGGGGAGUAUUACACAAUGGGCGGAAGCCUGAUACAGCGGCGGUGGGUGGGUAAUGAAGGCCUUGGGGUUGUAAACUCCUUUCGGCAGGUACGCGGUACCUGUAUAAGAAGCACCGGCUAACUACGUGCCAGCCGCCGCGGUAAUUC
rnacentral:rRNA from 1 species